AUACGGAGGGGGUUAGCGUUGUUCGGAAUUACUGGGCGUAAAGCGCACGUAGGCGGACUGGAAAGUUGGGGGAGAAAUCCCGGGGCUCAACCCCGGAACUGCCUCCAAAACUUCCAAUCUAGAGAUCGAGAGAGGUGAGUGGAAUUCCAAGUGUAGAGGUGAAAUUCGUAGAUAUUUGGAGGAACACCAGUGGCGAAGGCGGCUCACUGGCUCGAUACUGACGCUGAGGUGCGAAAGCGUGGGGAGCAAACAGGAUUAGAUACCCCAGUAGUCC
rnacentral:rRNA from 1 species